CUCGUUUAUAAACGUUUCAUCGAUAUAUACAUAGGUAAUGUUGCGACCAGGAGUCACACCUGAUUUUUGUCUGAGGACUCUCGCCGCCAGAAUAAAUCCACAAUCAUCAUCGGCGAAUGUUAUGUUGAACUACAGAAAAAACACCCCUGUCCACGAACUCCAAAAGCUGUUGAUAACCUCCCAUCUAACCUGAAUUCAACAAUCUACCAAAGCAAGGAGCCAGCGGCUACAGCUCCAUGAUAUCAUCAAGUGAAUAAUGGGGGUCGAUUUUGCCAUCCUCUGCUUGUUUCAUCUUAAUGGGGUAAAUUGCGUCCAUCUUGUUCCGCUCUUCCUGGUCCAGAUACUGUAAUCGGUCCUCAAGGGACGUGAAUUCCCCGUAGUAAGUCUUGUCAAUGAACGUCCAGUAUAUCUUAUCAAACAUGGAGCUAAACCGUGCUGCCAGACACACCCAGAACAGGCCGUUAUCCAAAGACUCGCCCAUGCGUGGCGACAGCCUCUGAGACUCGAGCAACGUGCCAUCCGAUAUCAUGUCUGAUUCGGCCCCCCGUAAAGCAUCAAGGAAAAGAUGAAAACGCGGCUUAUAGCGAGUUAAGAACUCCAUGAGAUCGGAUUCCCAAUCUUCUGGAGCC
rnacentral:sRNA from 2 species